rnacentral:rRNA from 1 species
CAAUAGCGUAUAUUAAAGUUGUUGCAGUUAAAAAGCUCGUAGUUGAAUUUCUGUACAUUCCCGGUGCCGGCUCUUGUCGAACCGUGGAGUGUGCAUCCGCUUACAAACUUAGCCCGGUCUUCAUUGGUCGACUAAGGGAGUAGGCCCUUUACUUUGAAAAAAUUAGAGUGUUUCAAGCAGGCAAUGGCUCGAAUACAUUAGCAUGGAAUAAUGGAAUAGGACUGAGGUCCAUUUGGUUGGUUAUUGGACUUUGGUAAUGAUUAACAGGGACAGUUGGGGGCAUUAGUACUUAACAGUCAGAGGUGAAAUUCUUGGAUUUGUUAAAGACUAACUUAUGCGAAAGCAUUUGCCAAGGAUGUUUUCAUUAA